AUUUGCACUUAAUUAAUAUUAUUAUAUCAUAAUUAAUUGUGCCCAUAGUCACAGUGGGAUCCACCUUCCUGGUCACCAUCUUUGACUCCACGAGCAUUAUUCAAAGAGAUGAACUGUGUCUCUCAAGAAGUUAGUGUCGCCGGGGGGUUGGUAGCUCGCACUGCCCUGGGUUGGUGAGCAACAACGACUCCAAUUCAUCAACAUAUCAGAAGAAUCAGAACCCAUAUAAACAGAUUUCAGAUCCAUCAUCCAAUACCCAACAAGAGAAACACCCAUCAGCCAAAAUGCAAGUUAAUAUCAAAGAAACUACUCCAAUUCGUCCUUCUCCUUCUCCCUUAUCUCAAGACCAUGUUCUUCCACUCUCCUCUCUCGAUAUUGACCGCAACAUGAACGUUACCUUCCGUUAUCUUCGCGUAUAUGUAAACAACGAGGCCGCCACCACCAACAACACUAAGAACCCCUUUAAUGUAAUCGCCGCCGCCCUUUCUUCCGCUCUCGUCCACUACUACCCUCUUGCCGGCACUCUCCGCCGCCGACAUGAAGACAGCCGCUUUGAGGUAUUCUGCUCCGGGGACCAAGGUGUGCCUCUCAUCAAUGCCAC
rnacentral:misc_RNA from 1 species